rnacentral:rRNA from 1 species
GAGCUUGCUCUUAUGAAGUUAGCGGCGGACGGGUGAGUAACACGUGGGUAACCUGCCCAUAAGACUGGGAUAACUCCGGGAAACCGGGGCUAAUACCGGAUAACAUUUUGAACCGCAUGGUUCGAAAUUGAAAGGCGGCUUCGGCUGUCACUUAUGGAUGGACCCGCGUCGCAUUAGCUAGUUGGUGAGGUAACGGCUCACCAAGGCAACGAUGCGUAGCCGACCUGAGAGGGUGAUCGGCCACACUGGGACUGAGACACGGCCCAGACUCCUACGGGAGGCAGCAGUAGGGAAUCUUCCGCAAUGGACGAAAGUCUGACGGAGCAACGCCGCGUGAGUGAUGAAGGCUUUCGGGUCGUAAAACUCUGUUGUUAGGGAAGAACAAGUGCUAGUUGAAUAAGCUGGCACCUUGACGGUACCUAACCAGAAAGCCACGGCUAACUACGUGCCAGCAGCCGCGGUAAUACGUAGGUGGCAAGCGUUAUCCGGAAUUAUUGGGCGUAAAGCGCGCGCAGGUGGUUUCUUAAGUCUGAUGUGAAAGCCCACGGCUCAACCGUGGAGGGUCA